rnacentral:rRNA from 1 species
UACAGAGACUGCAAGCGUUAUUCGGAUUCACUGGGCGUAAAGGGUGCGCAGGCGGCCAAGUGUGUGAGGCGUGAAAGCCCGGGGCUUAACCCCGGAAUUGCACCUCAAACUACUUGGCUAGAGCAUUGGAGAGGGUAGCAGAAUUCACGGUGUAGCAGUGAAAUGCGUAGAUAUCGUGAGGAAUACCAGAGGCGAAGGCGGCUACCUGGACAAUUGCUGACGCUCAGGCACGAAAGCGUGGGGAGCAAAAGGG